AGAAAUGAAUCUCAACCCCUUAGUCAAGAAUUUUCUGUCGUCUCUUAAUUUGCACGUGAGAAAUACUUCCAUAUCUCAUGCUCAGGUUUUAAUCUGAUCUUUGUGAGUUCUCAAUUGUUUUUUUUUUUUUUUUUCUUUUUCUUUUCUGAACUUGACUUGCAUUUGUGGGUAGGAUUGGAGCACACUGUUAUCAAGGCAUUCGGGGGAAUCAACUUGGCAGACAUAACUUGCUGCUUGUGUUUGAGGAAAACAAACCUGACCAUAACUGGAUUAUUUGACAGUCAUUUGUAAAUGCUGAGAGGUCUGCUGUGUGGUAACACAUCGCUGCUCCAACAGUCCCUUGAGUGACAUGCCCAAACCAUGUCACUGCACUUUGCCUUGGGAAGUACCACGACUGGAGAAGUACCCACGGAUGAGCAGUGUGCUCCGAACUCGCUUUGCAGGUUUCUGUCUGAUCAUUUAAGGAACUUCUUAGCUCUUCCAUAGCCAGAGCGAGGUAGUUCUGACUUGCCUCUUUUACUAAUCCUUAUCUUAGUUCUUUCUGGAGAAAUAUCCAACUGGUUCCUUAACAUGUAAGAGAAUGCACCAAACCAGAGCUAUAUCAAAUGCCAAUUGUUGGUUUUGUUUUUUUUUUUUUGGCGGGGGGGGGGGGGGGGGUUGUAUCCCUUGGUACAUUUUAAAAACAUAGCUUCCUCGGGGAUGAAACAUCUCAUCAUGCCUUCCCUAUCCCCACUUACCCUACACACUCUGGAAUCACAGUGAAAAGGAUAUUUAUUUCUGAAUGAGGUAAAUAAGUUUAAGGCUCCUGACUUCUUUGUUUUAACUGCAACUUGAGGAAGCAUCUGGAUGUCUGUCAGUGUGUCCCUUUCGGCUCUUUGUGAACACCUGCAGGCAUCUGCUAUCUCUUCCUUCUCUCUGCUAGCACCUGCUCUAUUAACAAUCAUGUACCUACCUGCCCUGGGAUGACACUGAAUUUAGGUGUACUGGAAGAGUUGUGUCCUUCCCCUACGAAGGUGGUACCGAUGUGCUCUGCCUUUCUGAUCCCAUUUUAUUGGAAAACCUGAUGUACUCAAAGGCGUGAACUAUAAGGGUAGAUUGGCUGUACAUAUGCACUUAGCCUUUUCUUUCUUUUUCAGCUGCAUGGCACAAGAUACAGAAAAAAAAGUAGAUAGCUCUGCUGUGACAGGGACAAAUGGGGACAAGCUGAAUUCAAGAUUUGUGGGUUACGAUAAACUUUGUGGACAUAGUGCUGUCUGAGGGACCCUCAAUGACUGUAUUUGCCUCUUUUUCACCAAAGAGAAUAGGAGACAUGGUAGCACCUAAAAAUAGGUAUGAAGGCCAGAUACCAAAUAAAUCAAAUUUACAUAACCGUUACAAGACCAGUUUAUUUAGGUGACAUUUUACAGUUGAGAGAGAAUUUGAGGGGCACGAAAAUGGGUUAUCCUCUGUGUUUUCCAGUUUGUCAGGAAUUUAUCAGAUGGCUCUGCCCUAAUUUUGCCCAGAUUUUUUUUUUUUUAUCACCAGUUCCUUCUGGAGAAACAUGCUGCGUCUCUAUAGUAGUGAUUGAUUGCUUGUUAUAAAGGCUUUUUAGAACAGUGAGAGCCGCCAGCCCAAUGAGCGGUAGAGGGAAGUGUGAAACACUGUCAUUCAAACAUUCCGUUAAUAAUUCUCUGGAUAAAAUGGGGAUGUGAGGGCCAACCAUUAAGAUUUAGAAUGAAGUUGGCUGCCUGGCUGGCAUACAUACAGGUCAGUGUUUGAAUGCAGUACAGUUUGCAUGCACAUGCAUAUUGCACAUUCUUUUAAUGAAAAUUCACAGAAAAGAAGCAAUUAGCAUUGCCAGUUGUAUUACAAAAGCUUAGAGUUAGAAGUACAGUACAGUUACUACGCCAGCAGUUGGGUCUAAUUCAGCAGGUUGUAUUAAGAAAGCCCCAUGUUGUCAGUGUGUCUUUAAGGCUAAUGGCAAUUUAAAUCACAAAUCUCCAUUGUCUGCAUCCAGAAAAACAAACAAAGCAAGGCAAAAAACAAUGAAACAAUGAAAAGAUAUUGAGUUGACUGGAGAAUAUUUGAAGAAAUAUAGAUUUUUUUUGUGAGAGGAAGAAGUUGCAGGAAGUAAUUUAGCAACCUUGGCUUGUGUUUGUGCUUCUCUGACCCAGUUGCACACCUCACAAGUUUGGUCUUUCCAAACCUUCAUCUUCUCUCCUAAAUGACAAGUUAGGGUAGAAAGAUUCAUGGAAGAGGCUGGAGAGGACAAGGAGAGCUGUCUGCCCCUAGAUUCAGGACUGCGCCUUACACUGUCCAAGUCACCUGCCACAUACUGUCUUAGCCUUGAAAUUGUAGAUUGGUGGUGAUCGUCAGUUGUACUUCAUGUUAUUUUAAUAACUACUGUCUGUAUAAUUAUUCUACAGCAAAAGCUCCCCCAAAUCCAAAAGGGGAAAAAAGUGAGGGAUGAAUUGAAACUUUGUAUAUAUAAAAGUUAUUUUAUAAAUGUUUUAGUCUUCCAGUUUCUGCAAAAUAAUUAAAAUAUACAGUAACUGGUCUCUUAAACCCUGAACUUAAUGUAUUAAAUACUUAUAAAAUUUUAUAUUGGUGCCUUUUAAAAAUGCAUUGAGAGUGUUGGUUAGCUCUUUAGCUCUACCACACUUUUACUGUGUAUUUUUUAAGAAAAAAAAAAAUCACAUAAAAUCUAAGUACUCUCUAAUUCACCUUUGUGUUCUUAGAAGAAGAAGAAAAAAACUGCUAAAAGAAUUUCCAGACUUUUAGCUGAGCUGGCAAAAGUGAC
rnacentral:lncRNA from 1 species